UACGGAGGCGUGACGCUUCCUGUUUCCAAAGAGCGAAUCGGAGAGAGAUUUUUUUUUCUUUUUUUUUUUUUUUUUUUGCCUCGUUCACUUUUUCACCACCUCUUCCAUUGUAGGCCCCUUCCAAUGUGGUGAGUUUUAUUUUGCGUGUGUGUUUUUUUUUUUAAUUUUAAUCGGCAUCGCAUGCAAGCAGGAGGGGGGAGGAUAAAAAAUACCGCGAAUUUAAGUUGCGGUUUUGUGUAAAGGACCAUCAUCGGUUUUUUUUCUGACAAAAGGACACUUCCCUAUCAUAAUAUGACGUCUUAUUUUUUACUACGCAAGUGCCGAAAAAUCCAUAAUCAUCAGACACAUCAUCUUUUUUUUUUUUUUUCCUUGAAGAACUGUCUUGCAUGCUCCUCGGUCCGAGCAGUUCGCUUCAUUAGUGGUGAAAAGGAGGAUGAGGAGGAGUAGAAGGAGGCGGAGGAGGAGGAGGAGGAGGGCCGACUGCUCCAUCCUGAGCAAUCUAUCUAGCCGGUGCUGAGGGUUAAUAGCUGCUGCCAAAGAUAAGUGAAUUAUAAGCUGUUGCUUUCACCUCCGCGCAAAUCUAUUGCCAAAUUGAGCUUUGCACACACUUUGCGCGCGCUAAAAAUCGUCAAAGACCGCAUGCAAAAAAAAAAAAAAUGCGCGCUAUUCGCUUAUGAAGAAGUUAACCUUCCCUUUUAUGUCGGAGUUUUUUUUUCUUUCUUUCUCUUUAAAAGGCAAAUCCUCUUUAGAGAUCAGAUACUGUUGACUGGAGAGGAGCCGCCACACACGCGCACGCACGCGCGCGCGCACACACACUCGCCCGCACACAAUGUGUCGGAAUAACGACGGCGUCUUUUUAAAGCGUAUUUGACAACAAAUGCAGCUGGCCCCGCUCGUUGUGGACAUAUUAGCGGUGGAAAUGAAUGCAAAUCUGUGUGCUGCAGCCAUCUGGACGUGCAGAGACGGAAAAAGAGGGGCGUCAGCUGAGCCCCCUUGACUGUUGUGGUCUUCGGACAACAAAAAUCCAAAAUGUAAAUAUUAUAUAUUUUUUUGGGGGGUGGGGGGGUGGAAAGAUGCGCAAAAAAAAUAGCACGUCACGCUUACUAGUGUCUCCCACCCACCCUUCUAUUGACCUCCACUGAUAUCCAAUCAAACUCCCCAAUGAGGGCUUCCGGUGUGUGUGGCGCGCGCAUGCACCCCUCUGUCUUUGUGUGUGCGUGUGUGUGUUGAAUUUACGGGGCGAGGCCCUUCAUGAUCUCGCCCCAAAUUUGCAUGUAAAUGGCCGACAUCAGCCUCCACGCGUGCCAGGGGCCAGCGGGCCUCCCAGAUGUCACGGCAAAGUCAAUCAGCCGGCCGCUGCCCAGCUGUCCAGCCCACUUCCACAUCCACGCGCGCCCAUGCAACACCGUAUGAUUAUUAUUAUUUAUUCGCAUUUAUUUAAAAAGGAGCUUUUUUUUGCUGUAGGGAGCUCACCUGCGUUUUGCGUGGUUGUUUUUAUUUUAAUUUUUAUUUUUUCUGGUAUAAGCAGCCCAUGCAGGCUUUGUGAAAGGGAUCUUUUGUCGAUUAAUUAUUAAUUACAUGCACGCCCACAGUGCCUCGCAAAUUCUUAAUGAUUAGAGAAGCAGCCCACGCAGCAAGCGUACGUGGUUUUUUUUUCUUCUUUCCCCUUUGCACUGGAAACUAUAUUUUUGUUAUUGAUUUUGGGGAUGGGUGGCGCAUGGAGUUGAAAGUAUUUUCCGAUUGAUUUCUUUUAAAUGAUUGUUUCUUUCAUUCAAAGCCAUUCUAAUAUUGUCAUGCAUCGAUUCCGAUUAUUUCGCCAUUUUUGAAAGCUUGUUUUUUUUGUAAGCAUUCAUUUUGAAUGGUUUCCCCUUGUUUCUUUCACAUAUUUGAUCGCCCCCCACCUCCCCAAAAAAAACACAUUCUAAAUUAUUCUCUCGCGUUCCUUAAUUAGAACACAUUUUAACUGAUUUGUUAUGGUUGACACAUUUGAAUUUAGUCCGUGCAUGCAUUCGUAAUUUGUCACCCCGAAAUAUUUGUAUUGCAUUUGCGUUGAUUUCUGAUGAUUAUCCCCCCCACCCCUCCCAUGUUUCUUUCAUGGAAAUGAACACUUUCACAUUUUUAUUGAGUUAAAAUUCAUUUUUCGCUCCUAACAUAUUUCACUCCCAUCUUUUCAUCGAUUCAUCACAUUGCUCCCCCCCGUAAAAUACGUCUUUAUAUUUUAACGUGCAUUUUAAUAAUUACCUCCCCGCGUUUGUUUCACCACCAACACAUUUUUAUCACCAAUAGUCAUUUUAUUUUAUUUUUUGGGGUGGGGCGUGAUUGCAAAACACUUUUUGUGCGUGUGUUCAUUAAAAUAAAUGCAUUCACAUUUCGCUCACAAUUAAAAGGAAAGCAUCCCCACUCCACACGCACCAAAAAAAAACAUUAGAAGGAGACAUAAAAAGGACAAAUUAUGGAUUAUUUUUGUCUUUAAGGGGGGGCGGCGAGGAGGGUGGGAGGGGUAAAAAUGUAUUCUAGGCAAGAGGAGCGAUGGGAUCGAUUUUUGUCGAGCUGAUAGACGGACAGCGCCCCUCUUUGGCAACACUCUUUUUUUUUUCUCCCCCCACUUGCACAAGGCGCCCAAAUCUCGACGUGGAUUUUUUUUUUUUUUUUUUAGUGAAGGAAAAAAAAAGCAGAAGCUAAUUCUGCUUAUUUUCGUUGUUUUAAUCAUCAUCGUUAUUAUUGGUAGUAGUGUUCAGAUUCCACGCCGAGCAUUUCAUAAAUCGAUACGAGUGCAAUUAAUGGAAAAGCCGAAUUUUGUUUCGUAAGGCCAGCACGACAUACGCGCGGGCCAUACUACUAAUUAUUAUUAUCCUCUUGUUAAUAUAGUAAUAAUAAUAUUAAAUGUGGUGUUCCGUCUUGACGUCACAUUGGGUGACCAACUUAAUUGUGUGCACUGGUGAGUUGUGUCAAGGGCAUCAAUAUGCCUGCGUCCCAUUUGCAUUUCCAUUCUACUGUGGAAAUGAAGAGAGACUUUUUUUUUUUUUUUAACCCGCGCCUGCUUUCGAGCCUCGCGGCGCAGUCUGUGGGCGAAUUACAUUUUAAAAGAAGGCGAGAGAAAUUAAAUAAGAAACCACGACCACUUCAGGGCUAUUAACAUCUAAAAUAUCCCCUGGAAAUUUCCACCGAAAUGCACAUGACCAAAAAAAAAAAAAAAUACCCAGGGUGCCAUCACUCUCAUGCAGACCCCUCCCUCCUUACGACCCCCCUCUUCCCCUGCACUCCUUACCCCUUCCACACCCCACCCCUCCAAUCCAAUCGCGGAGGUGUCCAUCACCGCUUUGUGGAGCUAUCCGGGACUGAUUUAAAUAAAAGUUGAGUUGGUGAUUCUUGAGCGGUGUCAAAAAGAGGAGAAAGGCAAUCAAAUGUGAUUAUUUCAGCCAUAAGUGGAAACAUAUUCAACUUGAAGGCCAAAUGAAGACUUUCAAAAGGUCAAAUUUUAAAAUCACAUCAGCUGGUGGGCAGGGCUGUGCUCACGUGUCUGUUGAAUGUCAUCGCAAACCGUAUGGCAAACGUCAUAAGUGAUCGUAAAACAUAUAGCAUGAGCCAAUUUACAAGUGGAUCAGAAAGGUCUCAGGACUGGUGUCAAAAGACAGUUGUUUCAUUCAAUGCGCGAGAAAAGGUGACUUGCUUGGAACCUUUUAGUCACCUGACCUGAGAUUAUCCCAGCCACCCCCGCUUCUUUUUACUAUAGGCUCAAGGAGUCAUCACGGGGAGCCUUUAAAAAAAAAAAAUUCUUAUAAAGACGCUGACAUGUCAAGAUGGAGAAUCAUUUCAGGGAUGCAUGAAUGUGGAACAAAUAAAGCUUGGAAAGUGCCAUAGCACUCCAAGGGGAAAGGUUGGAACUUUGCUGACCCGCCCUCGUAUAUCGUGAGACUCAGCGAAGUGUCAAAAGGGUUUACUACAGUACACUUUUGCAUCCCUUUUAUUCAUGUAUUUAUUUAUUUUUAAUGAUGCCUCCCCAAAAAUGUUUUCUAGUUGAUCAAAACAGGAAGCGUGACAGAAACAGCGAAUCAGAAAUCGUUAGCCUAAUAGCAUCGUUGCCCAAGUCGUGUCCACAAACACAACAAAUUUGUUAAAAGAAGAGUCCAGUUGCCUCAAUUCAACCUUUUACGAUUACGAUGACCUGAAUAACUCGACCCCUCCCCUCCAAAAAGACAAUUUUUAGCAGUCGCCCUUUUAUCAAUUUAUUGAAGACUUACGUAAAGGUGUUCAGUUUAUGCUAACGCUACGUGAUCAUACAAUGGCAGAAAGAGAAAGGAACAAAAACUGGUAACAAUGUUAGCAAGCACAACAAAACAAGCGUGUUGUUUGCCCCCCCCCCCACCCAAAAAAAAAUCUGAGUUGUUUACAUUUAAAUUUUGAAGGUAUUGGGAGAAAGUACAAGAGACAGUUAGCUCUGUGAACAAUGCAGGAAAGACACAUUUUCUCAAAAGUAAAAAUAGGUUGUUGAAUUGCCCAUUCUAAAAUUGGGUUGAGGCUUGUUUUCUUGAAAUGUUGAGCUCACUCAACUGUUUUUUUUUUAAACCGUGUAGGCUAGUUAAAUGCUAUGUGUGUAGGCUAGUUAAAUGCUACGUUACAAUACAGCUCAAGUGACAAAUCCCAUUGAAAAUUGAGUGGAACGUUACUAGCCAAGUCCUCUGACUGAAGUCCUUAUUACCAACUUCAUUUUUUACACUUUGACCUGACUUUUUUUUAUUUUAUAUACGGCCUUCGAUCUCACCACUUGGGUUCUGAUCUCCUCCGCCUCCUCCACCCGCGACAGUAAAAAAAAAAAAAAUUCUUCUCUUCAUGUGUAAGAAUUCAUGUCAUCACAAUACAUAAUUAUCGGCAAUGUGGUGCUAAUGAACACGCCUCUUCUAUUGUGUGUGUGUGUGUGUGUGUGUGUUUUUUUUUUUCCCCCCCAGCGAUGCGGAGCGACUUCUUGCACUCCGCCGGCAUCGGCGCCAAACGCCGAGGUGCAUCGCUAUUAACAGAAAUGUUAAUUGUGAUGUCACGAGAGCGGGAGUCAAGGUGAAAAAGCUGCGCGGCGAAAACCAAGACCGAGUGUACGCUAAAAUAAUCCAGCAGCACACAAUGAACAUGCAGUUGUGUUAGUGGCAAGGGACCUUUUUUUUUUUUUCCUCCAAGAGGAGGUGGAAAAGAAGGAAGUCAAUGAAACGGAAAGCUACAUUUUUUUGUUGCUGUCUUUGUUUCAACUGGCCUUGUUUUCCCCUCCGCAAAUUGUAUAAUGCUGCUCUUUGUUCUACACGCCACAUGAAUAGCUUGUCCUGAGCGAGCACACACCCAAAAACACACACACGGAUGAAGUGAUCAUCUUUAAAAAAAAAAAAAGAAAAAAAACGCCCUGGCGCUCACUUGGCCUACUUUCCAGUGGGAAGGGGAGCGCCGUUCCGGGGAGGGGCGGCCGCAGGAGAGUGCGGAGGAUGUUCACGCACUCUGGGAAAGCUAGCUAGAGCGAUGCGAGUCAACAUCGUCAACCUUUUUCCCCCGAGCACGUUUGGCCCCGUCUGCUUCUUCCUGUCUUCGUUUUACAACAGAGUUUCCCUUCCUACGACAGCAAUGUAACCCAAAUUGUGUCGUAGUCUGUAUCUGACCUAACGCUAGUCGUAAAGUCAGAAUAUUCUUUGGCAUUGACGCAAAACUAGUUGCUUUGCCUCUGUUAUUUCCCGAUUCUCUGCUUUCAACGACCACAGCCCUUGUCUAACAUUAAAGCAUCGCUUUGGCGCCACCCUGUGGCAUAUUGGUGCCGAAUAUAUUUAGGUAGAAACAAGGAAAAGGGUGUCACUUAGUCAGGCCGUAGCCCUGUCUAAUGUAAAAACACAGUGGAAGUGAGACCCACUGCGGGUUGCUGGCUUUUUUGCCACUAGAUGGCGGCAGAGGCCGCAACGCAUCGAAACAAAGGACCUGAAAAGAUCUUAAAUUGAUUUAGAAGUCAAAAUCUAGGUCCCGAUGAAAUUUAAAACUGAAACUACACGGACCUCCCAACUUCAAAACGUUCGCCCUGUCCAAAACCGCCGAAACCCCCCACCCCCCAAACCCCCCCCCCCCCCCCGUAUUCUUGUUUGACUUUGCAAUUGAGAAUCCUACAGAAGCUUAACGCCCGAGCUAAAAAGUCGGCCAAACUCCGGCGGGGGAUUUCACUUGUCAAUUCCUGUUGGAUUUGAGGAGCAUUAGGAAGCGCGGUGCACGCCAUCUGCUCUGCCUGUUGAUCGAUAGCACGUCAGGUCCGCGCCGCCGCUCGUUGAGGCCUUCAGGUGGCAGCUCGGGUUACACAACAACGGGCCGCGAAGGGGCGGGGCGGGACCGGGUGGGGGUGAAUUGUGGGCUCUGGAGUUUGGCUCGACAGACUUUGGGUGAGGAGCGGCUUGAUAAUCUGGGGUUUGGUGUACAGCGCCUCACCAAAUGUCGACAUCUGCGAGGGUGCGCGCGAGGAAAAGCUCCUCGGAGGAAGAGGGGAUCAUCAUCUUAGCUCCCCUCACCUUCAAGCACGCCCGUCGGGCUUUAAAAGGCAGAUGAAGAAAUCCUAACGUAAACAUGCCGAGUCCGGUUUUCAUCGCGCGUGCGACAUGGAGGGAAAGGGGGCAACCUUGGCGCAUCGUUAAGGGGCUUGACUUUUUCGUCGCCCUCGGAUGUAAACAUUGCGCUGUCCGCGUUACACCGACAACGCUCAUCAGGGGUGUCCAAAGUUUUUCUUCCGAAAAGAGAGCAUGACAUUUUACACCUUUUGAUUUAUUUACAGUCACACACAAGAAGCCUGUCCAUUAGAGUGGGUGCGAUUACGCUCAGAAAAGCAAUACAGCAGGGGGCCUUAUUGCCCCAUUGAAAUGAAUGGAAAUGCCAAUAAAGAGAAACAUCACUCGAUUAAAAUUUCACUUAGAAUGUCCAGAAUGAAACAGUUUGGGCAUCAUGAUUAAACCAUUGUGACGCCUUGUGGUGUGCGCGACUUGGCUACCAGUGCAGGCACAAAAAAGAAUUUCACAAUGUUUGUAAGUGACUCAGUAAGAUGCUAUAAUAUUCGUCAUUCUUCGCCUAGGAUAAAGAAUAUAUGCAUGUGUUUCUUUGGUCUAUUUCCGGUCUGAAUGUGUUGCUGCUUUAUUGCCCUUCAAAUACAAUCUACACUUUAAGUGUUAAAAUGAGAUUAAGCUAAAGAUGGACUUUAACUUUCAUAUGAAUAUGUCUGUAUGUAUAAAUGUGUGUGUGUGUGUCUGAGCGAGAGGACGCACAAAUGUUUCACUUGGUCCUUUGUUCCACGGCGCCUGCGAAAGUGACUUUGACUCUCCUGAGGAAAAGUUUGAGCAUCUGUUCCGCAGUGUCGUAUUUGUCGAGAAAUGAAAUAUUGAACCGAUGGAGUGCGCCAUGAAUGUUUCACUCGCACGACGCCAAUGCCGAUUGUACGGGGAAGCGGCACUUUACACGCACGACCCGGCAUGUUGUUGUUGCCGCCUUUAAGUGCGCCAGAUUAGCGCGCCGCGAAGCGUUCCGUUUAGUUUAGCAGCGACAUGCUCCUCGAACAACAACGGGGACAACACACGCGCGCGCAAACACAAAGAUGAUGGAAACGCGCGUUUGUUGGUCGUCUUCUGGUGUUGAAGAGCUAAUUGCUAACAUAAAAAAAAGAGACAUUUGUACUGGAGGCUUUAUGAGACUGGCUUGUGAAAAAGCAACAGGUCAUUUGUUCAAAACAUUUUUAAAAAACACUCAUUUGAGGUUUGUUUUGACAAUUUCCUACAAAUAUAAUUAGCGAAUUUAUUAAAAAUACAAUAAAUUCAAUAAAUAGGAAAUACGUGCUAAUUUGCUGGUCGAUUUGUAAGUUAGCUUACAAAAACUAAUUAGUAGAAGAGUGAUUUUUGGGUGGUUACUUUCAAAAAUAUUUUCUUAGAUACCUGACUAAAUUCCGGGUCUCUAAAAAGUAAUAAGUAGAACCAUGACAAAUUUUAGGUUAGCUUUUAGUCGUCUUAAAAGAGGUAGAAACUGACCAACUUGUGUGUUAGCAUGAUAGCUUACACAAAGUAAUAGCGUAGUAAACUGACUCAUUAAUGUAUUUGUUAAAAAUUUGUCUAUUUUCUACAACGUCCCACCUAAUGACCCGCGUUCUGCUAAAUGCAAAGCAAUUUUUACCCACGAGUACCGCUUCAGGUUGCUCACAUUUGCUCCCGAUAUCUCGAUUGUUCAACGUUAGCAUGUGGCUAUCGUGGCAGGGAUGAUAAAAUGGUGUCGUGAGUAGCCUUUUGUGUGCCACGCUAGGAGAGUUCCGUCGCUAAAAGGGAGGGACAAAAGCCAGAAGGCGCCACGGGUAUAAGGUUCCGCCCGGUGACAAUGGCCAAAGUUUCAACUUGCAGCGCAAUGGGUGUAACUUUAACUGGAAUCGUGUGGAUCAAAGCCCGGCGAACAAAGUGGGUGGAAAUGCCGCGGGAGAACGUCUGCGCUCCCGUGAAGGACAGCUUCAGACACCGGGCCGGCCGACGCGGGCUAAUUAGCGACACUCUUAUUUUGGUUAAAGGCCGGGCCCCGAUCCAACAUUAGAAACUGAAAAGCUCCACGUCUUAACGGGAAAUCCAACAGAGGCUGAUUAAUUCGCCGCCGCCACGAACACGGUCAAUUUUGUAUCGCGUGUGAAACAUUCAUCGGGCCUCCGCUGUCUUUGGGAGCGGAAUUAUUCAGUGGCGCUGGUUCAAAUGAGAAAGGCGGCCUUGGAAAUGAGGCGAGGCUUACGGCGAGCCAUCAGGUGAGCGCGCGUACAAUGCCAACGUGUAACCUUUACACUGCGCUUGAACCCGCGCAUACAAGUGUUAUGAAAGGUCCCUGUGGCGCCGCGCUCUUCUCACAUGGAUUUGACGACUUGCCACUUUAUUAGCUGCUAAGCCCCCCCCAUUCCCCCCAAUACGUGUUUUGUACAGUGUAGACGAGGGGGUGUGGGGGGCAGGCCUAUGUUAUGAGCCGGGAUUCUUAUUGUCUGCUGGCGUUAUUAGAAGGAAGAGUGUGCAGCACUCACUUCCACACCCGGCACCCCGAGAGAAUAGGCCGACUGUUGCAAGGCGAGCUACAAGUGCAAUUUAACCCAUCUUAUUUACAAUGUGAUCGUUUUACAAAGACAUGCUUUCUGCAAAGGAUCAGCGUCUAAUAUUUCUCCUCAGUGUGAUUCAUUGAUUUUUUUUUCUGCUUCUUCUUCAUCCUCAGAAUAUAUUUGAUGUGAUGUCCAAAUAAACCCGUAGUCAAAAAAAGAAAAAAGAAAGAAAAGUCAACCCGAGUAGAAGCUUAAUAGAUUGCCGUGCAACAAAAACACAGUUAAAUUAAAUUAAAUGUUGAAUCGAGUGUAAUCACAGAUGUGCUGUGUGAUACUUAAACGUCGUUGGUGGCCUUCGCCGUGUCAUCGUCUUGCAAAAGGGGAAAAUCACGGUUGAAAAAUAAUCAGUGCCACACUGCCAUCUAGUGCUCAGAUUACCGCACUGUAUGCAAAAGAUGCACAUCACACAGUUGGUG